rnacentral:lncRNA from 1 species
GGAGGGGGCCGGGCUAGCGGGCUACUGGGCUGCGGAGACCAGAGCCCGGCUCCACUGAAGAAACCCGCCGGCUGCUGGGGCAGGGCGGCGAAAGGUCAGUCGGCCGAGAGGAGUCCGUGGAGCCACCGUUUCAUAGCCUCAGGGAAAGGAUCGGGCGUGCUCACGAGCCCUCUAACCCAUGGCUUAAACACCCGCUUCCUAAGCCUGGGUUCUUAUGCCUUUGUUUGAAAAACAUGGUUCCCUGUGAAAUUUUACAUGUAGAAGAAAGCUUCACACUACGAGAGCUCUCAGGAUAUAAUUAUUUCAGACAGAUACUGGGAACAUAAGAUGGCUUAUCAAUCUAAGAUGGCCUUCCUGUCCUUCGGAUUGAACUGAAACCAUCCCUGAUUCCAGGGAUAGGUAGAUGAUCCAGGUUUGGACAAUCAAAAUAUUGAACCACCCUGGACCUACAAGUGUUUCUGGGAUGGGAACAUGCAAACGUUGGUCCAAAUUGUUGUUCUAGGCAGCCCAGUACAUUUCUCCAAUGCCUGAUGGAAUGAUAGGGUAUGCAUAAAUGUUCAUGUGGGCUCUGGAGUAUACCAGGAACUGAAGUAAGGUACAUGGACGUCUUGAAUAUUGUAACUGAGAUGGGCAAGCCUACACCUUUGCAAAUAAAGGAGGAUUGGGAAAGAUUAAGCCUCUCAAGCACUGUGAAAAAUCACUUUCUCUUGUUGUAUUCUUGGAGCCCCUGCUAAUUCAUUAUUGAAAAAUACCUGCUGCCUGCAUUUGGCCUUAUGUUGUCAUUUACUUGGUACUUCCUAAGCGUGGCUACUCCAAUGAAGCUUUAGUAUAUGUACUGAAAGAAGAUCCUCUCAUACUGCCACAGCCAAGAGAUAAGGUUGUAAAUCUUUAUUGGGAGAAGCCGUCAAGGACAGUUCUGUGAAAUGAAAGGAUCUCUGGAUCACCACAAAGUCUGGCUCAGUGACUAUGGCUUUGCAAACACUAAACAUUCCUGUCUCAAGUCCUGUAGAUGGCUUGAAAUAGUAUACAUAAGCAUGCCUUAUAAACAUCUUCAGUCUUUAUCAACUCUUUGGAGAUUCAGCCAUUCUUUUUUGUACUUUAGGGAAUUAAAUCAUUUUAUAAUGUAUAAAUCUGAGCAUGGCCGAUGGCAGAAGAAAUUUUGUCAUACGUUUUUAAAGAAAUAAAAAUGUAUUAUGUUUUAAAAUUC